rnacentral:rRNA from 1 species
GACAGCAGUAGCCGCGGGAAUACGUAGGUCCCGAGCGUUGUCCGGAUUUAUUGGGCGUAAAGCGAGCGCAGGCGGUUUGAUAAGUCUGAAGUUAAAGGCUGUGGCUCAACCAUAGUUCGCUUUGGAAACUGUCAAACUUGAGUGCAGAAGGGGAGAGAGGAAUUCCAUGUGUAGCGGUGAAAUGCGUAGAUAUAUGGAGGAACACCGGUGGCGAAAGCGGCUCUCUGGUCUGUAACUGACGCUGAGGCUCGAAAGCGUGGGGAGCGAACAGGAUUAGAUACCCGCGUAGUCCCUGUCUCUUAUACC